AAAGCGCGCGUAGGUGGUUCGUUAAGUUGAAUGUGAAAUCCCCGGGCUCAACCUGGGAACUGCAUCCAAAACUGGCGAGCUAGAGUAUGGUAGAGGGUGGUGGAAUUUCCUGUGUAGCGGUGAAAUGCGUAGAUAUAGGAAGGAACACCAGUGGCGAAGGCGACCACCUGGACUGAUACUGACACUGAGGUGCGAAAGCGUGGGGAGCAAACAGGAUUAGAUACCCGUGU
rnacentral:rRNA from 1 species